rnacentral:misc_RNA from 1 species
UUCUAUAAAGAGACCAAAAGAGGUAGUUAUAUGCAUUUGAAAAUUUCCUUCUAACGUUUUCAAUUUCCAUUUGUUUCUUUUCUGUCUUUCUUUCACUACUUUGCUUUGUUCUUCUUCAUUAUCUAAAUAUGAGAAAUAGUAGAGUUCUUGGCAGAUGAAAAGAUACAAUUUAUGGGAAUGCAAUGACCAGUUACAAGCAUCAAAAAGUGGAAAGGGAAAAGAUUAUUCAUUUUUUGAAAUUUGUUUGAAGCAGAUUACAUGUGGAAUACGUAACUCAGCUGCAAACAUAUAUUUGAUUAAAUAUUAAGGUGGGAUUUCAGGAGUCUGAAUAGCAGCAUGACUAAAAAAAGUUGCACUUUGAAGAAGGAUAUAAAUAAGGGAGAAAGGAGAAAUUCAAAUGUGAAAUCCUGUGUUUGGCCUUCAAUGAGCUUGCUUCUUGUGUAAUCCAAAGUUAAAAAAUAUGAAGCUUCAGUGCACAUCACAAUAGCUACAAUCAAUGUGGUCAUUUAUACAAUAUAAAGGAGACAAAUGUUAAUUGAAAUAAUCAUGUCAACUGUUGUUUAACUGCUGGAAACGGGAUAGUCAUGCUUAUGAUUCUGACGUGAUGGUGUUGUCAAACUACUUCUCUUACUGCAGUUCCAAGAAUUUAUUUUAUAUCAUUGAAGUAUAUACUUUUGGUUGACAUGUUCAGGUUCAAACUAUUUCUUUAAUUUUUGUUGACAUGUUCAGGUUCAAACUAUUUCUUUAAUUUUU